ACGCUCGACACCUACGGAAGGCAGCAGUGGGGAAUAUUGGGCAAUGGACGCAAGUCUGACCCAGCAACGCCGCGUGAAGGAAGAAGGCUUUCGGGUUGUAAACUUCUUUUGUCAGGGAACAGUAGAAGAGGGUACCUGACGAAUAAGCCACGGCUAACUACGUGCCAGCAGCCACGGUAAUCUGAGCGGGCUGGCAAGGC
rnacentral:rRNA from 1 species